rnacentral:rRNA from 1 species
CUCGUAGGCGGUUCGUCGCGUCCGGUGUGAAAGUCCAUCGCUUAACGGUGGAUCUGCGCCGGGUACGGGCGGGCUGGAGUGCGGUAGGGGAGACUGGAAUUCCCGGUGUAACGGUGGAAUGUGUAGAUAUCGGGAAGAACACCAAUGGCGAGGGCAGGUCUCUGGGCCGUUACUGACGCUGAGGAGCGAAAGCGUGGGGAGCGAACA